rnacentral:rRNA from 1 species
UACCAGCACCCCGAGUGGUCGGGACGAUUAUUGGGCCUAAAGCAUCCGUAGCCGGUUCUGCAAGUCCCCGUUAAAUCCACCUGCUUAACAGAUGGGCUGCGGAAGAUACUAUAGAGCUAGGAGGCGGGAGAGGCAAGCGGUACUCGAUGGGUAGGGUAAAUCCGUUGAUCCAUUGAAGACCACCAGUGGCGAAGGCGGCUUGCCAGAACGCGCUCGACGGUGAGGAUGAAAGCUGGGGAGCAACCGG